GUCUACGCCCAUACCACUGUGAACAAGCCCGAUGUCUGAUCUUGGAAGCUAAGCAGAGUCGGGCCUGGUUAGUACUUGGAUAGGAGACCGCCUAGGAAGACCAGGUGCUUUAGGAA
rnacentral:rRNA from 1 species